rnacentral:rRNA from 1 species
UAGGGAAUAUUGGGCAAUGGGCGGAAGCCUGACCCAGCCACGCCGCGUGCAGGAGGACGGCCCUCUGGGUUGUAAACUGCUUUUAACUGGGAAGAAAAGAGGCUUUGCGAAGCAAGUUGACGGUACCAGUUGAAUAAGCCACGGCUAACUACGUGCCAGCAGCCGCGGUAAUACGUAGGUGGCGAGCGUUAUCCGGAUUUAUUGGGUUUAAAGGGAGCGUAGGCGGCUGAUUAAGUCAGCGGUGAAAGGUAGCAGCUUAACUGUUUUACAUGCCGUUGAUACUGGUUAGCUUGAGUUGACAGAAGGCAGAUAGAAUUCCUGAUGUAGCGGUGAAAUGCUUAGAUAUCAGGAGGAAUACCGAUUGCGAAGGCAGUCUGCUGCAGUCACACUGACGCUGAGGCUCGAAGGUGCGGGGAUCAAACAGGAUUAGAUACCCUGGUAGUCCGCACAGUAAACGAUGAUUACUAGAUGUUGGCCAAGCCAGUGUCCAAGGGAAACCGAUAAGUAAUCCACCUGGGGAGUACGCCGGCAACGGUG